GUUUGAUCAGCUGCUACUUUCAACCGAGAUUUGCAUGUGCUUAGUAGCCUGGAUAGAAUCCAUCGCCAUUUGGUUGUUGCAGAGUUCACCCGCAUCACCAUGGUUCCUUUGUUGUCGACUUUCAUGGCCAAGCUGGACCACUACACUGACCACCUUCUUAGAGUGUUGAAGAAGAAGGGGGGGAACAGCUAAACACAAUAUCAACGUAAUCAUGGCAGCCAUGGAUGGGGAUCACCUAAAGAUUGCUUCCUGUCUCCCACACUUCCUGAGAUGAGAUCACCAGGCCCCACCAUCUAUUUAACUGUGUGAAACAGAUGUAUAAAACCAAGUGAUACAAAAGCACUAUUACUAAAA